CGAGCAGAGGAUCAAAGGGGCUUUGUGGCCGCGGAACAAGGAGCCUCCCUGAGCGCGGGCAGAGGUGUGAUAGCCACUUUGCAGAUCACAGUAGCCCCGGGCACACUUCCAACCCCAGCCACUCCACCCUCCCUCGGCUUCCAGCAUGCCCCAGGGCCCACAAACUCUCGGCUGACACAAAACCAGAAUCCUCAACACCAGCACAACAAUCAGACCCUGCAUCCAUGUCAAGGACAAAUAUAAACCCCGUGUGUGUCGGGGCAUCUGGCCCUGUGAGCUCUCGGGUGUCAGGAGCAAGGACCGCCAGGUGGGGGCGCUCCAGGCUGGCAUCAGGUGUGAUGCUCUGGACCUCCUUACCCGUCAUAGAAACAAGGACCAAAACAGCAGCUCAGCAGCCAAGAUGGGAGGAUCGCCUCUCAGAAGAACUCAAUGUUAUCAACCCCCUCCCCGGAGCAACCAGGGAAGACUGACUCGCAUCACGGGAGAUGAGGGGUCUCCCCACCACAACUCAACAGUCAUACAACUGUCAUAUCUCCCAUGUGUUCUUCUAAGGGCCCACUUCUCUUUCCAAAAAGUCAUUUGUUUUCCAUUUAAUUUGCAGACCCUCAAGCACUGAACCUAAGAGGAUAGAGGAAAAGGUUUUCCUCCCCAACAUCUACAACUGCACCUUCCCCACCCCUGGCCAGCAAUUUAGACCCAAAGUCUGUUUCUCAAAAUCUGCUAAAACAGGACAACCUACCCUGCAGAAUGCUCCCAUCCCAAAAGGUUUCCACAGUCGAAUAAAUUUGGCAAUUGCUACCCUCUACAGUCCCU